AUUUUCAACCACAGAUGAGCCCACGGCAAUGGAAUGAAUGGUUGAACCGCUGCUGAGCACAAGACAGUAAGUGAAGAAGCCAGGAAUUAAAGCACAUGUGUCUGGUUCCAGAGAUUAAGCUUUUCACCACCGUCUGAGAGCUCUGAGGUUUUCAAGAGGUGAUAUCUGGAAGGCUCUUCAGUUCCUGGAUGACUGAGAAAAGACGAAAUGCAUGAAGAUUCCAAACCAUUGGCCUCCUCUCCUCUGCCCUUAACCAUCUGGAGAUCAAAAGAAUUAAAAACU